GCAGGGGUGGCGGAACAGGUAGACGCACCAUCUUGAGGGGGUGGCGGUGAACAACCGUGAGGGUUCGAGUCCCUUCCCCUGCACCA
rnacentral:tRNA from 1 species